GGGUGCAUCUAGAUGGAAUCUAUCGAUCUUGAUAGAUUAGGAGAGAUCCUAUGUGAUUUAUGAAACUGAGUUCGUAAAUCCUCGGCCGGGGUAGUAUGUACAGUGGAAAAGGAGUUUUCCACUCACGAACUUAAGUCGAAUAAAUCUUGACAUAUGACAGACGAUGGGGUUUGACGAGUUAUCCAUGACCUCCGUCAUGUAGGGAUCCACGAUAGAAGGACUGUAUCAUAUGAUAACUGCACCUAGAGGUUCAUCAUUCCAUUCUGCUGGGUUGCUACUACAUGCUGCUAGGUAUCACUGGUGGANN
rnacentral:lncRNA from 1 species